GACGAACGCUGGCGGCGUGCUUAACACAUGCAAGUCGAACGGUAAGGCCCUUCGGGGUACACGAGUGGCGAACGGGUGAGUAACACGUGGGUGAUCUGCCCUGCACUUCGGGAUAAGCCUGGGAAACUGGGUCUAAUACCGGAUAGGACUCCUGGCUUCAUGGUUGGGGGUGGAAGGCUUUUGCGGUGUGGGAUGGGCCCGCGGCCUAUCAGUGUGUUGGUGGGGUAAUGGCCUACCAAGGCGACGACGGGUAGCCGGCCUGAGAGGGUGACCGGUCACACUGGGACUGAGAUACGGCCCAGACUCCUACGGGAGGCAGCAGUGGGGAAUAUUGCACAAUGGGCGCAAGCCUGAUGCAGCGACGCCGCGCGAGGGAUGACGGCCUUCGGGUUGUAAACCUCUUUCAGCUAUGACGAAGCGCAAGUGACGGUAAUAGCAGAAGAAGGACCGGCCAAUUACGUGCCAGCAGCCGCCGUAA
rnacentral:rRNA from 1 species